rnacentral:rRNA from 1 species
CAGCCGCCGCGGUAAUACGAAGGGUGCAAGCGUUACUCGGAAUUACUGGGCGUAAAGCGUGCGUAGGCGGUUGGUUAAGUCUGCUGUGAAAGCCCUGGGCUCAACCUGGGAACUGCAGUGGAAACUGGCCAGCUAGAGUGUGUCAGAGGAUGGUGGAAUUCCCGGUGUAGCGGUGAAAUGCGUAGAGAUCUGGAGGAACACCAGUGGCGAAGGCGGCCAUCUGGGACAACACUGACGCUGAGGCACGAAAGCGUGGGGAGCAAACAGGAUUAGAUACCCCAGUAGUCCCUGUCUCUUAUAC